GACGAACGCUGGCGGCGUGCUUAACACAUGCAAGUCGAACGGAAAGGCCCAGCUUGCUGGGUGCUCGAGUGGCGAACGGGUGAGUAACACGUGGGUGAUCUGCCCCUAACUUCGGGAUAAGCUUGGGAAACUGGGUCUAAUACCGGAUAGGACAAUCGUUUAGUGUCGGUUGUGGAAAGUUUUUUCGGUUAGGGAUGAGCCCGCGGCCUAUCAGCUUGUUGGUGGGGUAAUGGCCUACCAAGGCGUCGGCGGGUAGCCGGCCUGAGAGGGUGGACGGCCACAUUGGGGCUGAGAUACGGCCCAGACUCCUACGGGAGGCAGCAGUGGGGAAUAUUGCACAAUGGGCGCAAGCCUGAUGCAGCGACGCCGCGUGGGGGAUGACGGCCUUCGGGUUGUAAACCUCUUUCGACAGGGACGAAGCUUUGGUGACGGUACCUGGAGAAGAAGCACCGGCUAACUACGUG
rnacentral:rRNA from 1 species